GGGGGAUACGUUCCGAAAGGAACGCUAAUACCGCAUACGUCCUACGGGAGAAAGCAGGGGACCUUCGGGCCUUGCGCUAUCAGAUGAGCCUAGGUCGGAUUAGCUAGUUGGUGAGGUAAUGGCUCACCAAGGCGACGAUCCGUAACUGGUCUGAGAGGAUGAUCAGUCACACUGGAACUGAGACACGGUCCAGACUCCUACGGGAGGCAGCAGUGGGGAAUAUUGGACAAUGGGCGAAAGCCUGAUCCAGCCAUGCCGCGUGUGUGAAGAAGGUCUUCGGAUUGUAAAGCACUUUAAGUUGGGAGGAAGGGCAGUAAGCUAAUACCUUGCUGUUUUGACGUUACCGACAGAAUAAGCACCGGCUAACUUCGUGCCAGCAGCCGCGGUAAUACGAAGGGUGCAAGCGUUAAUCGGAAUUACUGGGCGUAAAGCGCGCGUARGUGGUUCGUUAAGUUGGAUGUGAAAACCCCGGGCUCAACCUGGGAACUGCAUCCCAAACUGGCGAGCUAAAGUACGGUAGAAGGUGGUGGAAUUUUCUGUGUAACGGUGAAAUGCGUAAA
rnacentral:rRNA from 1 species